rnacentral:rRNA from 1 species
GAUGAACGCUGGCGGCGUGCCUAAUACAUGCAAGUCGAGCGAACAGAUGAUGAGCUUGCUCCUCUGACGUUAGCGGCGGACGGGUGAGUAACACGUGGAUAACCUACCUAUAAGACUGGGAUAAUUUCGGGAAACCGGAGCUAAUACCGGAUAAUAUAUUGAACCGCAUGGUUCAAUAGUGAAAGACGGUUUUGCUGUCACUUAUAGAUGGAUCCGCGCCGCAUUAGCUAGUUGGUAAGGUAACGGCUUACCAAGGCAACGAUGCGUAGCCGACCUGAGAGGGUGAUCGGCCACACUGGAACUGAGACACGGUCCAGACUCCUACGGGAGGCAGCAGUAGGGAAUCUUCCGCAAUGGGCGAAAGCCUGACGGAGCAACGCCGCGUGAGUGAUGAAGGUCUUCGGAUCGUAAAACUCUGUUAUUAGGGAAGAACAAAUGUGUAAGUAACUAUGCACGUCUUGACGGUACCUAAUCAGAAAGCCACGGCUAACUACGUG